CCAGCCUCUCUGGUGUGGCAGAAGAGAAAGGUCAGCUGCUCAUUAUUAAUGCCCAUCUCGGAUCUCUCACUGCAUGGUGCCAGUGACUCACAAGGUGGCCUUGGUGGGCAUGUGAUUCUGCCCAAAGCAGAGGCUCUGUGCCUCUCCAGUCAAAACCCCAAUCUGGCGCUGAGGGUUUGACUGUGCCUGGAGGUGGCAAAGAUGAUCUCUGCCUCAGAGUGAGCAGAAACAGACCCAGCUGCUAGAAGCCGGUCAGCCGUGCCUGGGGCCAGCCAGAGCCCCUCGUAAAGGAGCACCAGCCAUUGAGUGUGCUGAGGCUUUGGGCACUUAGGUUUUUAUUCCAUUUCCUAAAUUCUGGUGGAGGAGGAGGAGUGAGAAGCUGACAGUCAGCCAAGAUGUUAAAGCGGAUUAGUUGGAAGCAUUCUAAGAGGAGCAAAGCGCAAGACUACAGCAUUGCUCCUCGGUGGCACCUGGGACCUGGGGAUCCUUUCUCCACUUACGUUUAGCGCACAGCCUGGGACUUGUCCCUGCAGCCUCUCCGGGUUAGCCGUGCCGCCGUUGGGACCUCCCGCCUGGACUCCCACCACCCACUCCUCUUGGGACUGCCCCGGCAGGGCUGGUGUGGGUGCAGCCACAUGCCUGGUGGGAAACAUGCUCCAGGCAGAGCCUGCCCCCCCGGGCUGUGGGAUCGUCCGGUGGGCUCCCCUGUUCCGUGGGUCCCCUGUUCUGCCUCUGGGUGCAAUUCGAGGUUUCCCUCCACAAAGUUUGAUAUGUUAUAGGUGCUGGGGACCAGAGACAGGCUCCAUGGCUCAACGUGCCCUCAGCACCAUCAUCCCACCCCACCCAGGUCCAGGGUUCCACUCCAGUGAGGGACAGAGUGGGAGGGUGGGUCAAUGAGAUGAGGAGGAGUUUUCUGAGGCUUUUGUCCCCUGCCGGCCUCCUACCCCUCUACAUGUCAACCUUCCUGAACCUGGGGGACAACGCAUCACUCUGACCCAGCCUGCCUCCUCUCAUAUAGUGGGAAACGAUGAGAAAAGGGGUUGCGGAGUGGUAGAGGAGGUGGCAUGAGGGUAGAUCGGAACAAGGGCUUAGCCUAGCCUUACCAAAAGUUUGCCAAAAUCAUUCAGCCAUAGAAAAUCUAUUUGCAUCAAUCCACCUGUAUUUUUCAGUAUCCCUCUUCUGCCUCCCCUUGUAUUCAGAUCCCUGUGUUUAGCACUCCCCUACCUAUUGUCUCUUAGCUUCCAAUAUACUCAAAGAUACUCACCUCUUCCUCCCUACCCCCCACCCUCAGAGCCCCAGGAAAGACCCUACAUAGAAGGGAGAGGCAGAGAUGAAUCCAGCCUCCCAGGGAAAAACCAACUCCGGAGAAGCGGAGAGGCAAAGGUCACUUCUUUAAUCCCGUUUCCCCAUUUUACGGAUUCAUUGCUUUGUUUUCACUAGCUCAGGCCUUGUUUUUUUUUUUUAGGUUCAGCACUCAUUUCCAUGGCUAGGCUAGUGGGGGGUGUUCCCUUGUGUUUCCAAAAGUUUACACUUCAGCUGUCUCACAGGCUUAUUGUGAGGAUGAGAGACCAAGUGCGGUGUCCAGUGCCCUGAGCUUUGCAGAGGCAAGCAUCCCUCGAAGUAAAGCCCCAUGCUCUAGAAACGUACCUGGCUCAAGAAAGGACCCUGGGGGGUUGUACUUGACCAAGAAUCCAGGGGUGCACAGCGAUAUGGGCAUUUGCAUGACUGAGAAGAAUCGCUGAUGUCUUGUUUGCACAUGUCACUUACUUGAAUAUGUUCCAAUAAAAUGAUUCGAAAGCAG